AUAUUAAAUUAAAAAGUUGUUUCAAAUCCAACUAAAUAAAUUUUAAAUUCAUAUACUUACAGUUGCCAAUUCAAAUCAAAAUACACAUAAUAACUAAACCAAAAAAAAACAAAUAAAUGCCUAAUUUCAUCAGCUUCCGUUCUCUUCGUCAGUUCUUCCAUAAUGCCGAUGUAUGUCAGGGUUGAUCUCCAUAGUCUUCUUACUAGAUAUGUAGCCAGUCAUACCGUUAUCUCUCAAGGCCUGAGCCUUCAUAAUCCUCUCCACAUAUUUGUAGUCUAACUAUACUCACCAGUGACCAAACAACAAGUAACCUAUUAAGCUAAACAUCUUCGUAUCAUAUAAAAUACCAAUCAAAGAAUAAAACCAUAUUCAAUUCUAAAGAAAACAAUGACAUAGUGUAAAUGUAACACAAUAUAAGGACCAAAUGAACAUCACGACUUUCAUCAUUCUCAAUCUGAAUAAGGUAAUAACAUUCAUCAACAACCAAAUUAUCAUAAAACAUAAAGGCAAUAAAAGGAUAAAUAAAAAAUUAAAAUAUACCAGAGAAAGGUUAGAAGUAGCAUCUUCCAAUAUAAGUUAUUUUUUUCCAUUGUAAUAUGGUAAUCCUCAUCAUGUGCAACUGUAUUUAUCUGCAAGUAAAUAAAUUUUUUUAAGGGCUUCAAUAUAUUAUAAUUUGAGAUUUUGCAAUACUUUUUUAAAUUAAAAAAUAGAAAAAAUGAGACUUAAUCAUCCAUUUAUCAUUCAAAUUAUAAAAUAGAUUUUCUAAAUCUAAACAAUUUAAUAGUAAAUAACUAGCAACAAACCUAUGGCUAGUUGAAAUCAAUGAA